rnacentral:ncRNA from 1 species
GAAAAGACGAUUGAAAGGGACAGUCAUGUUUCAAUUUGGCUUUUGAAGCGACUCGGGGAUGGUGUGAGCCUGAGACAGCCGGAGACAUGUAGAUCAGCCCUUAAGUUUCCUUUCUGAACUGACAGUAAGAAAGGACGUUCCAUCACGUUACGAUGCUGGAGAGGAAGAAGCGUGUGUUUCCCGUUUCUUCUAAAAGGGUGGUACCGCGAGAUAAGCUUUCUCGUCCCUUAU